AUGAAGACCGUGUACCGGAAGUUUGCUUCAUUGGGUGAACACCAUUCCCUGACAACAGAGGCCAAUCAUGUGUGUCUAAGAUGUAACGUAUGGAAAUACGAAAUUGCAGGUCGUCUCGGAGGAAAAUAAAUUGCACGCGCCGAAUCCAUUAAAAAGGGUAGACUUCCCCUCCAAACAAUUCACGCUAAAAUUGAUUAUUGUUGCUAUUCAAUUCGAACUAUUUAUGGAGUAUUAGGUGUAAAAUUUUGGAUAUUCAUAGAUGAAGAAUAA
rnacentral:rRNA from 1 species